UCUCGCCCCCGGUUUGAACAGGGUUCAGGGGAGCGUUUCUCCGGAAGAGGGGAAGGUGCCCCGCGGCGGGAGGGUGUCAGGCCCGGCCAGGGGAGCCCCAGGGCCGCCCUCUCCUCUGCCUACCCAGCCUCAGCUCACAACCUGUGGAUACAGCAGCCGUAACGAACCUUCCAGGCAAAUCAAACAUUUUUUACUUUUUCAGGUCAAUGGAAGAGAUGCAGCUGUCGAAUGGGUAAACAGAUGGAUGUGUGUGUGUGUGUGUAUCCUUCCUCCGUGGAAUUAAUAUUAAUUAGGAAGCUACAGUUGCUGAAGAAUCUGGAGCUGUCUGCAACCAAUGGAAAAUAAUGGAUGGCUCGCACCGUCAAAGGAAGGCAGAAAGAGCCGAGGAGCAGUUGCCUAGCGCGGCCACCACCCAGGGCUGACGCUGAGCGGGGUUGCAUGAGACUCCCAAGUUCCCUUAACAAAAAUUAUUCAGAUAAAAAGUAGCAGCACUCCCCGACCCUCCCCCGCCCCAGAGCCACAGGAAGCGAGGGUUUCCC